rnacentral:lncRNA from 1 species
GGUGGCGCUUUCAAGAGAGCAUAAACUGCGGUAGUGUAGGGAGGAUACAAGCUUGCCGUAGAGUUGCCUGGAUAAGUUUCUCAGACAGUGGGCAGGGCCAUAGCGCUCCCAACAGACUUUGUCCUUUGUCUUCAGCUACGAGGGAACAGUUGGCCUUUUUGGAUGAAGGUGUGAUUACUGGAAAGGAGUACUGCCAGGUGAUAAAGUAAGAAGACAAAGAUGCAGACAAUCAAAAGCAGCCACAUCAGUCUGGUGAUGGGCAAGGGAACACGUGUCAAAGCCAGCUGACCUUUACAUACAUCACGGCUAACUAGAAAACCAUUUGGUGACUUGCUAGUUCCUCGAACUUCUGGGAAAGAGAAUGGUGUUAUAGGAAUUUCGCCUUCUCCUGGUGUCGA